UACAGAGGGUGCAAGCGUUGUUCGGAAUUAUUGGGCGUAAAGCGCGUGUAGGCGGCUUUGCAAGUCGGGUGUGAAAGCCCUCAGCUUAACUGAGGAAGUGCGCCCGAAACUGCAGAGCUUGAAUACCGGAGAGGAUGGCGGAAUUCCCCAAGUAGAGGUGAAAUUCGUAGAUAUGGGGAGGAACACCGGUGGCGAAGGCGGCCAUCUGGACGGCUAUUGACGCUGAGACGCGAAAAGCGUGGGGAGCAAACAGG
rnacentral:rRNA from 1 species